ACAACAUUCGGACCGUCGGUCUACCGAGCAAUAUCAAUCGCUCGAUGGAAAAUCUUUCUUCGUUAU
rnacentral:pre_miRNA from 1 species